rnacentral:rRNA from 1 species
CCUACGGGUGGCAGCAGUGGGGAAUAUUGGGCAAUGGGCGCAAGCCUGACCCAGCAACGCCGCGUGAAGGAAGAAGGCUUUCGGGUUGUAAACUUCUUUUCUCAGGGACGAAGAACGUGCCGUUCCCUGAGGAUUACGCCACGGCUACUUCCGUGCCAGCAGCCGCGUUAAAACGGAGGUGGCAAGCGUUAUCCGGAUUUCUGGGGUGUAAGGGGCGGGUAGGCGGGAGCGAAAGUCAGAUGUGAAAUCUCAGGGCUCAACCCUGAGCCUGCAUUUGAAACUGUGGUUCUUGAGUGCGGGAGAGGCAGUCGGAAUUCCGUGUGUAGCGGUGAAAUGCGUAGAUAUACGGAGGAACACCAGUGGCGAAGGCGGAUUGCUGGACAGUAACUGACGCUGAGGCGCGAAAGCGUGGGGAGCAAACAGGAUUAGAUACCCGAGUAGUC